rnacentral:lncRNA from 1 species
AAUUGACCAUAAUGUUGUUUCAAUUGCUGCCAUGAAAAGCACAUCACAUCAUUAAAUAAUUAAAAAUAGUAAGUUUUGAGUAUGAAAUCAAAUCGUAUCUAUCUAACUACACCAAACCUAAUCUAAACAAGAAGCACAUACGAGUAUGCUCGGCUAAGCUUACAAACUUUUUUUAAAAUAAAUCUUUACUUCUCGAGAGGAUAAUAUUUUUCUAAACUUAGCCGAACAUGCUCUACAGACUGGUGGGAACGUCAUGGCGAUUAAAUCAAAAGUGGGUUAGGUAAGCAAAUUGCUAUUAGUUAAUGCUGGCGGGUGUGGGUG